rnacentral:lncRNA from 13 species
GUUAAAUGAAAAAUAAUUGUGGUUCUGUGUAUUUUAUACCCUUCCCCAUCACUUUUGUUUGCAUUCAUAUGAUGUAGCCAUCACAAUUCUGGCUGAUAAUUCAGCCUAUUUAACCUUUUGUUUCAGUUCUACAACUUCAACAUCAAGGAAAUUAAGUAAUUUUUAUAAUUGAAUUUGUCUGUACUAUGUCUGAACCAGAAUCCAAACUGGAGUAGGGAGGACUAAUUUAUGCUUGUGGAUUUAGUGUUAGGCAGACUAUUUUUUGUUAUAUGUUAGUAUUGUACCAAGACCAUUGGGUAAAAUGAUCCUCAUCCCUCUGAGCAAGCAGUAUCUAGCGCUUCCUCUCAGCCAGCUGUCUGUGUGAUUGACUCUGCUGCUGUCCUGUUCUACUUCACCCACCAUCCUCUGGGCAGCAGAUGCAAGUUUCCAUGACUUUUUAUUUUAUGGCUCUUUGAGGUCCUGCAUCAUGUCCGGAGAAAGACAAUGAAGCUGAUGAAGGUUCUGGAGCACAAGUCUGACAAGAAGCAGCUUAGGCUCAGAGGAGACCUGAUCACUUUCCACAACUGCCUGAAAGGAGGUUGCAGAGAGGUGCAAACUCUUCCAUCUCUUCCAGGUUUCCCAUAACCACUUCAGGACUUCAGUUUACCAUCUCCCAUCAAAAGGACUCUAAGAAUUUGGUCCUGAAAGAGACAUCCUGGUUUAUAAGCUCCCUUCUCCUACCACAUCAUAGAGUCCCUUUCAUUUGUUUAUCCUCAUCUACACAUUCAAGGCAUUUUCUAUAAAUUUAGUUUUAUCCUUGAAGCUUCCAAAAUGUGUUACACUUUGAUUGUUUUAUUCUUUUGAUACUAUAUUUAAGUAAGAAAAUUCCACAGGCUCAUAACAACCAUCACGUAAAGACCAUCAGCAUAGAAUAAAUGCGCACAAAAUUGUUACCAAAUGUUCUUAGUACAUACUUUUCAAUAAACGAGAAACAAAAAACAUGAAUAGUCUGACUUCGCAACAUGACCACUUAAUUACUUACUUGACAAACAUUGAAUAAUAAAAUGCAAAUGAAUUCUUUCAAGAUUUUGGAUUUUUAUAGGCAUACAAGGUGCAGAAGAUUUUGGUGAGUGGGUGGUCUAAGAAUUUGCCUUUUGUUCAACAGUUUUUCUUGAGAUGUGAAUAGGUCUCUGUUUCCUAAGUGAAUCAGUGCAACAGUGAUAUAUCAUCAUAUAAUUCCAAGGGCAAAUUGGUGGGGAAAGGGAGAAAACAUGAAUGAGCAUCUUUUUCAAAAGAUUGACUAUUGAAAGUAGGAGCUACUGGUAAUGAACUCCAGACAUUGCUGUAGGAGUGAUAAGAACAGGAAAUGCUUUGGGCAACAUUGUUCUACAAAAA